rnacentral:rRNA from 1 species
CCCUUAGAUGUCCUGGGCCGCACGCGCGUUACACUGGUGCAUUCAACGAGCUUAUAACCUUGGCCGAGAGGCCUGGGCAAUCUUGUUAACGUGCAUCGUGAUAGGGAUAGAUUAUUGAAAUUAUUAAUCUUGAACGAGGAAUUCCUAGUAAACGCAGAUCAUCAAUCUGCAUUGAUUACGUCCCUGCCCUUUGUACACACCGCCCGUCGCACCUACCGAUUGGAUGGUCCGGUGAAGCCUCGGGAUUGUGGUUCUUGCCGCUUUAUUGUGGCGUGACCGCGAGAACUUGUCUAAACCUUAUCAUCUAGAGGAAGGUGAANUCGUANCA